GGCUCAGUAGUAGAGCGCUUGCCUUGCAUGCAUGAGGCCCUGAGUUCGAUUCCUCAG
rnacentral:tRNA from 1 species